rnacentral:rRNA from 1 species
CUACGGGACGCACCAGUAAGGAAUAUUGCGCAAUGGAGGCAACUCUGACGCAGCCAUGCCGCGUGCAGGAAGAAGGCCUUAUGGGUCGUAAACUGCUUUUAUUUAGGAAUAAACCCCCGAACGUGUUCGGGGCUGAAGGUACUAAACGAAUAAGCACCGGCUAACUCCGUGCCAGCAGCCGCGGUAAUACGGAGGGUGCAAGCGUUAUCCGGAUUUAUUGGGUUUAAAGGGUGCGCAGGCGGGCUAUUAAGUCAGUGGUGAAAUCCCGGGGCUCAACUCCGGAACUGCCAUUGAUACUGAUAGUCUUGAGUUUGGUUGAAGUGGGCGGAAUGUAGCAUGUAGCGGUGAAAUGCAUAGAUAUGCUACAGAACACCAAUCGCGAAGGCAGCUCACUAAGCCAAAACUGACGCUCAUGCACGAAAGCGUGGAGAUCAAACAGGAUUAGAUACCCGAGUAGUC